AAUACAGAUACAUGUUUCUCAUACCAUUUCAUGCUUUAUCACCUUCUCAUAUUUCACUAUUUGAUCUCAAGAAUUGUAUCAUUUAAAUCAUAUGCAAAUUAUCAAGUUCAUAUAUGAUCAUAUAACAUGCAUUAUCAAGUAAAAUUUACUUUGUUUAGACAUUUAAAUAUGAUCAUGCAAAUCAUAAAUUCAAACUACAUAAUUUUGCUCUAGAAAUGCUCCUUAGGAUGU
rnacentral:lncRNA from 1 species